UACGUAGGGGGCAAGCGUUGUCCGGAUUUAUUGGGCGUAAAGAGCGUGUAGGCGGCUUGGCAAGUCCGCUGUGAAAACUCGAGGCUCAACCUCGAGACGUCGGUGGAAACUGCCUCGCUAGAGUCCGGAAGAGGAGAGUGGAAUUGUCAGUGUAGCAGUGAAAUGCGUAGAUAUUGACAGGAACACCAGUGGCGUAAGCGGCUAUCUGGACGAGUAUUGACGCUGAGGCACGAAAGCGUGGGGAUCAAACAGG
rnacentral:rRNA from 1 species